rnacentral:snRNA from 1 species
GGAUGUGAGGGUGAUCUGGCUGACCCUCUAUGUGUGUCCCUCCUGAAGGUGCAUGGUUGGUCGAAGAGGGCGACCAUCCCCGAUAGAGGAGGACCGGUCUUCGGUCAAGGGUAUACGAGCAGCUGCACUCCUCUGCUAGAAUCUCCAAACAAGCUCUCAGGGAAAAAGUUCCAUAUAUAUUACAUACUUAAAUCCUAUCAGUAACAUACUACAUCUAUGGGAGUUAUUAAUUUACCAUUCUUU